AACAAGGCGUACCUGCGGACCUGCGGAGGGAUCAUUACCAGAGUGCCUUCAGGCUCUCCAACCCACUGUGAACAUACCUACGUUCCCCCGGCGGGCCCAGCGCGCGGCGAGGUCCUCCUCGCCCCGCGUCCGCCGAGGGCAUCUCAAACCCGAUUUUAUGUCGUGUCUUCUGAGGGGCGAAAGCCCGUAAAACAAAAUGAAUCAAAACUUUCAACAACGGAUCUCAGAUCGGAAGAGCAC
rnacentral:misc_RNA from 1 species